UUUCAGUUUAUUCUUUGUGGCAUCGUUUGCAUUUUGUCGGAGAAGAUUCAUAAUCCAUGUCUGGUCUUCCUCAAUGUGAUUGUAAAUCUGACUGGAACGGCUGUAGCCAUUUCUGCCAUAGUGAUUCACAGCAAAGACAUGGAUGAGAUUCACUGGGAGUCGUGUGAGUUUCAUCUGAGAAGCAUCAUCCAUACGCUGCUCCUCCUGUCGGUGGUGGAGGUCUGUGUCUCCAUCAGCUCUGCUGUGUUGAGGAUUAAAGCUCUGUGUGACGACAGCAAGGAGCACAACGAGACUGCAGAGGACCCAGAGAUAAAAAAGCCGCUGCUGGAGGAAGUGACGGCCGAGCCUGCAGCCUGAACAUUUUCCACUUCCUGUAAACUUGAUCCCUUCACCUCUCAUGGGAUUAAAAGCCACAUUAACCAUUUACUUAUUAUCUGUCUUUGGAUUUUUUCUGUAAAUUGUGCUUUUCUCUUGCCUAACGCACUUUUGAAAGGAACCAUUUCUCAUUUAGCUCAGCUUUUCUGUGACAUCACUGUUUUUUUGUGUUCUGAGGUUGGAGUUGUUCAAAAGUUUACUUGGGA